rnacentral:rRNA from 1 species
AGCGAACGCUGGCGGCAGGCCUAACACAUGCAAGUCGAGCGCCCAGCAAUGGGAGCGGCAGACGGGAGAGUAACACGUGGGAACGUACCCUUCAGUUCGGAACAACCCAGGGAAACUUGGGCUAAUACCGAAUACGUCCGUAAGGAGAAAGAUUUAUCGCUGAAGGAUCGGCCCGCGUCUAGAUUAGCUAGUUGGUGAGGUAACGGCUCACCAAGGCGACGAUCAGUAGCUGGUCNGAGAGGAUGAUCAGCCUCACUGGGACUGAGACACGGCCCAGACUCCUACGGGAGGCAGCAGUGGGGAAUAUUGGACAAUGGGCGCAAGCCUGAUCCAGCCAUGCCGCGUGGAUGAUGAAGGCCCUAGGGUUGUAAAGUCCUUUCGAC